GAACCGGUGUGCCCAAAAGAAAAAAGAGAAGCCCACCCACACCAGGCGCGUCCCUAACCUCCCGAUGCCUCGGCUUCCACCAGCCGACGCCGCCAGAUCCCUGCUUCCACCCACCGGCGCCGGAUCCUCCCCUGCUCCCACCCGUCGCCGCAGUCACCGCGCCCCCUGCUUUCACCGCCACCGCCGCCGCGCCCCCUGCUUCCACCGGCCGCCACCGCCGCCGCUCCCCCUGCUUCCACCGGCCGCCACCGCCGCCGCGCCCCCUGCUUCCACCUGCCGCCACCGCCUCCGCGCCCCCUGCUUCCACCCACCGCCACCGCCGCCGUGCCCCCUGCUUCCACCCUCCGCCGCCAGCCCAGCUUUCUUCCGCUCAAGGACCAAGAACGACGUGAGAUGUCGUCCUGGCCCAUCGUUGUGGCCCUGCGCCCUAACCACCGCUGUCGGCCAACACGGUGGCCCUGCUUCUCGCAAUGUCGCAUCGUGCUCUCACCGCGCCAUGUGUGGCCUCCUCCCGGCGAAGCGCCCUCGCCAACAACACACGUCACGCCCCAGUCCAGCUCUCCGGUGCCAGCCCAUCCACCUUCGCGACCCCAGGCCGUUUAGCACUGCCAGCAGAGCCUGUUCAACACCCCAGCUCUCACGCCCCCCCAUCUGUGGUGUCACCUUUUCUCUUCUCGCCACCUGCUGCCGGUCGAGCUCCUAGAGUCACUACAUCGACGCACGCAUCUGCUGCAGUGGGGGCUCAGUUGCUGCUCCAAAAUCGAACAAUUUGGAGGAAGAAUGCAUGAGAAACAAGUCUCCCAACGAUGACAAGGACCCGACCCAACCAGCUUCGCCAUGGCAUGGCGCCUACUGGCGAAGGACCACCAACUCCCUGACGACGUGCCCAAACCCGCCGACGAGGCCCGCCGCCCCAACCCUCCUCCUUCCUCCUCGCAUCGGGAUGAGCAAGAUCCAGCCGGUGCCUGAAGCCCAUCCCACCAUUGUACCCCCCUUCCCCUCGCUGCACUGACCGGUGUGCCAUAGCGCCGCUGCCAAGUGCGCAUAUGGAAGGUCGAGAAGUUCUAUUGCUCGUAUAUGCCAAGUUCAGAGAAGUUGCCGCCAAUGGCACCGGAGCAGCGGUCAAAAUUAAACUCGGUUUCAGUUUGUGCAUGAGUUUUUUUUACAUCAAUUUGUGCAUAUGUGUUAAUUGGUGGCUAGUGUGUGUGUGCAGGGUACCAUAAGUAUUAGACGGCAAGUGUAUUGAGGUGAGCAGCAAGACGAGGCGUGAAGCAUGCCCUCAUGUGUAUGCAGCGAGCUGCUACAACACUAGUGCGGCUAUACUGUCACAGAUGAACUUGGCUGGUUGUAGCUGCUUGUACUAAACAUGUGUGCCUCUGUUAUCUUUGGUAGUCAAUGAUGCAGACUAAACAUGUGUGCAUGUGUUAUCUUUGGUAGUCAAUGGUUGUAGCUGCUUGUACUAAACCAAGCAGGCCAAGGAUGAAGUAUACGAUGCAGGCAAUGAGGACAACUAAAACAUGCAAUCCGUACACAUAGCAGCAGCUGCAAGUUAUUCCGUCUAUGAUGACAUGAUUGCUACUACCUC